rnacentral:rRNA from 2 species
CCUACGGGCGGCUGCAGUGGGGAAUAUUGCACAAUGGAGGCAACUCUGAUGCAGCGACGCCGCGUGAACGAAGAAGGCUUUCGAGUCGUAAAGUUCUGUCCUUGGGGAAGAAAAAAGACGGUACCCAAGGAGGAAGCCCCGGCUAACUACGUGCCAGCAGCCGCGGUAAUACGUAGGGGGCGAGCGUUGUCCGGAAUUAUUGGGCGUAAAGGGUUCGCAGGCGGUCAAAUAAGUCAAGUGUGAAAAGUGCAGGCUCAACCUGUAUAAGCACGUGAAACUGUAUGACUUGAGUUAAGGAGAGGAAAGUGGAAUUCCUAGUGUAGCGGUGAAAUGCGUAGAUAUUAGGAGGAAUACCAGUGGCGAAGGCGACUUUCUGGACUUAAACUGACGCUGAGGAACGAAAGCGUGGGUAGCAAACAGGAUUAGAUACCCCAGUAGUC